AGAAAAGCUGUAUGAGGAUGUGGCAAGAAGGUGACCGUGUACAAGCCAGGAAGAGAGGUCUUCCCUGAAACCAACCCUGAUGGCGCCUUGAUCUUGGACUUCUGGCCUCUGGAAUGUUCCAGGCCCGGGAACUGCAUCGUGGCCAGAGGAGGAGUCCGAGCCUGGCCAGGCUGGGAGACAGGGCCACCGGGAGCCAGAAAGGAUCCUCCCACGUGAAGUCUGAAAGGAAGCAUCUUGCAGCUCCGUCUAAUUACAGGUCGGUAAAUAACCAACUUCCUGGGAGCAGGAGGACUGUCAAGUUCAGGAUCGAGGUGAGACACUCCCAACAAGAGGGCCCGUGGCUGUAGAAGUCACGGCCGGGGCGGGGAGCCGGGCGCAAACGCAGGGGACGAGGUGUCUGACUCACCCUAGAGUACAUGGGGUGGAUAAUCCCCAACAGUGAUUAAUAUAUACAUCAUCAAAAUUUAAAAGUGAAUAAAUG